CCGCUUAUAGUGUAAUGGAUAACACACUUGACUUCGGAUCAAGUAAUUGGGGUUCGAAUCCUCAUGAGCGGG
rnacentral:tRNA from 3 species